rnacentral:misc_RNA from 1 species
CUGAGAUCGUGCCCUUCGGGGUAGACCUCCCACCCUGUGUUAUUUACGUAUGUUGCUUUGGCGGGCCGCCCCGCGGGGCUCCCGGCUGCGGCCGGGGUGUGCCCGCCAGAGACCCCCCACAAUCCUGUGUUUUAGUGUCGUCUGAGCGUUAUAAAAUAAGUUA